CCUACGGGAGGCAGCAGUGGGGAAUAUUGCACAAUGGCGGAAACCCUGAUGCAGCGACGCCGCGUGAGUGAGGAAGUAUUUCGGUAUGUAAAGCUCUAUCAGCAGGGAAGAAAAUGUCGGUACCUGACUAAGAAGCCCCGGCUAACUACGUGCCAGCAGCCGCGGUAAUACGUAGGGGGCCAGCGUUAUCCGGAUUUACUGGGUGUAAAGGGAGCGUAGACGGUUAAUCAAGUCAGAAGUGAAAACUCAGGGCUCAACCUUGGGACUGCUUUUGAAACUGAGUAGCUAGAGAGCAGUAGAGGUAAGCGGAAUGCGUGGUGUAGCGGUGAAAUGCGUAGAUAUUAGGAGGAACACCGAUGGCGAAGGCGGCUUACUAGACUAUAACUGACGUUGAAGCUCGAAAGCGUGGGGAGCAAACAGGAUUAGAUACCCGAGUAGUC
rnacentral:rRNA from 1 species